GACAGUGUUUCAUCCCAUGUUUCAGCAGAUGUCUUGGUUUACCUGCUACAGAGUCAUCUCUUUGUCCUCUCUGUGAGAGGGAAGAGUCAUCUGCCUCCCGUGGUCUGCCAAUGCACAGACCACCAUGGGAAGUGAGGGAGCGAAAAAGAAAGAGGAAGAAAAAGAUAACUGCAGAGAUUGGACAGUCGGGAGCUUUUGAAGAGAAGAAAGACAGAAUUCUGCCCCAAGAACAGCGAUAACGGACAUGGGGUCCCACUGGGGGAUGGGCCGGAGGGGUAUAUACAGUAUGAAAUAUGAAAGAAGAAGACAGUUUUAUCUGUUUGCAGAACAUGUGGACAGUGUAGACUGUUGUCCUUUCACCUGGAGCCAAAGCUCAUGAACUACAUGGUUGAGAGUGUUGGGAAAUCUGCAUCCUGCUUUACGGUUGGCAAACUUCUGUUAACUGAAUACAUCAGUUAAGAAUCUGAGGCUUUUUCAGGCAAUUUGUGGAGGUUCUUUGUAUGGGAAAGGUAUAUGCACCAGUUCUAAACAGAAAUGAGAGAGAAUCAGAGAUGAUCAAUAGAUGGAUGAAUGAAUAGGUGAAGUGAGUCAGUGUACAGCUAUUCACUGUCCCUGUGCCCGUUUUGUCCUCUCUGUGCUAUUUGGAUAAAAUCUCUUUUAUCUCUGCUGGUGCCAGCCUCUGAUGCAUAAACACUCCAGACUGACUCCUUUUGCUUUGAUAGAGGGACAGAAAAA